rnacentral:rRNA from 1 species
CCUACGGGAGGCAGCAGUGAGGAAUAUUGGUCAAUGGACGCAAGUCUGAACCAGCCAUGCCGCGUGCAGGAAGACGGCUCUAUGAGUUGUAAACUGCUUUUGUACGAGGGUAAACGCCGAUACGUGUAUAUGUCUGCAAGUAUCGUACGAAUAAGGCUCGGCUAACUCCGUGCCAGCAGCCGCGGUAAUACGGAGGAUCCAAGCGUUAUCCGGAUUUAUUGGGUUUAAAGGGUGCGUAGGCGGUAGGGUAAGUUAGAGGUGAAAUCCCGUGGCUCAACUUUGGAAUUGCCUUUGAUACUGUUCGGCUGGAGUGGAGGUGAGGUAGGCGGAAUGUAUGGUGUAGCGGUGAAAUGCUUAGAGAUCAGACAGAACACCGAUUGCGAAGGCAGCUUACCAGGCUACUACUGACGUUGAGGCUCGAAAGCGUGGGGAGCAAACAGGAUUAGAUACCCUUGUAGUC